AUGAUAGUCACAGAGAGAGAGAGGCAGAGACAUAGGCAGAAGGAGAAGCAGGCUCCAUGCACCGGGAGCCCCACGUGGGACUCUAUCCCGGGUCUCCAGGAUCGCGCCCUGGGCCAAAGGCAGGUGCCAAACCGCUACGCCACCCAGGGAUCCCCUAAAAGCUGUAGUUUUAAGAGUAGACUCUUGAAGUCCAAAUCCAUGCAAGGAUCUGGCUUGUUUGAGGUUGACAGUAUUUCCAUAGAUAUCUUCAUUUCAAAAGAACACAUUGAUUGAAAAAAGAUUUUGGGAUGUAACAUUUGUUAAGAAACGAAUGAGAAUUAAAGACUGAGCUAAUAUUUUAAUUAAACAUAAAUAUAUCAUGGAAACAAACAAAAGUAGCUGUCACUUUUUUGAAAUCAGUUUUCCUGGAAAAAAAUUGUAGAAUCCUAUUUAGCGAUAUGAACACAUUAAGUAUAUUUUACUUAUUCCUACAACAACAUGAGUUCAUUUUUCCAAAAAAUUCUUCUUAAUCUGAAGAUGGGAGUAUGGUAACCUCACUUAUCAGGACCUGUGAUAUGUUUACAGAACCUAAAUUCCAGAAUGGAUUCUUAAAAAGAUCUUUCAGCCUGAAUUCUGUACUCUGGUCAUGCCUUUCCUUUCAGUGUUUCCGUGGAAUGUCUCCUCCUCAGUCAUAAAUGACCUUGUAGUGUUAAAUUUAUGAGAUUUUUUUCUCACGUUAAUCAGCUUUUGGCAGUAAUAUUUGGUAUCUUUGUUGAGAUGGACAUCACCUUGUCCAGAUUAUGCAGUUUGGGCUGCUGUGGCAUCAGUGUCCAGCUGUUAUCAGGUUGGUAGAAUUAUACUGUCAUCACAUGCUUUGAUUUUGAAUUCUUUUAUUUCUCUUUUAAGCAUAAUAACUAAAACAUUCUUUUCAAACAAUCAUAUUGUUCAUGUUUCUGAUGUUUGUAUUCCUGAGCUAAUCUGUAUUUAGUUUGGAUCUAAUUUUUAAGAUUUAGAGUCUGGAUUUUUCUAAACUGCUACUUUGAAUAUCUCCUACUCUUCUUGAAAUUUUUCAGGGGAUCCCUAUUAUGUUCAGGAUAAAAUUCAAACUUUUAAGCUU
rnacentral:lncRNA from 1 species